GGGGGCUCGAGUGCAACUCCCACCCUUUGUGACCAACCUACCAGCUGCUUCGGCGGCGAAACUCUUUAUAUUAUUAUCUCUGAUUACUUAUUCAAUAAGUUAAAACUUUCAACAACGGAUCUCUUGGUUCUGGCAUCGAUGAAGAACGCAGCGAAAUGCGAUAAGUAAUGUGAAUUGCAGAAUUCAGUGAAUCAUCGAAUCUUUGAACGCACAUUGCGCCCGCCAGUAUUCUGGCGGGCAUGCCUGUUCGAGCGUCAUUUCAACCAUCAAGCCCCAGGCUUGUGUUGGAGCCCUGCGGCUGCCGCAGCCUCCCAAAAUUAGUGGCGGGCUCGCUAUUACACCGAGUGCAGUAGUUUACUCUUCGCUCAGGAUGUGUGGCGGGUGCUAGCCGUAAAACCCCCUACUUCUCAAGGUUGACCUCGGAUCAGGUAGGAAUACCCGCUGAACUUAAGCAUAUCAAUAAGCGGAGGAA
rnacentral:rRNA from 1 species